GAUCAUCUAACAAUAGAUUUGAACCAAAGAAAUCCAAAGACCAUGGCCAAUAGAUCUCAUCAACCAUUAUCAACAACAAAGGUAAAAAUGUCAAUAAAAUGGUCAAAAUAAAAUAUAUGGAUGGAAAAUGUUCUAAGUAUAUACAAAAAUAUGAGAUUCAAAAAUAAAUAAGUGGUAAAAAAUGAAAUUAAAAAUGGGAUGAAAAUAAGAAAAAUAAGUGAAAAUAUAAAAAUAAGGGAAAAA
rnacentral:lncRNA from 1 species